rnacentral:rRNA from 1 species
UCAAGAAAGAAAGGGCGCAAGGUGGAUGCCUUGGCACAUGAAGACGAAGAAGGACGUAAGUGAACGAAAACUAGGGUUAGCUCACAAAAAGCAUUGACCCCUAGGUCUCCGAAUGGGGAAACCCGGCUAGUGAAGAACUAGUCAUCACUAAGUGAAUACAUAGCUUAGUGAAGUAAGACCCUGUGAACUGAAACAUCUAAGUAACAGGAGGAAAAGAAAGAAAACUCGAUUUUCCUAGUAGCGGCGAGCGAACAGAAAAGAGCCUAAUCCAUUGUUGGGAAAUUUAAGUAGUCAAAUCAUUUGGGAAAAUGAACCAAAGAAAGUGAAAGUCUUGUAGACGAAACUUAAAUAUCCCUAGGAGGAAAGUAGCACCGGACACGAGGAAUCCGUUGUGAAGACAGGGGGCCCAUCCCCUAAGGCUAAAUACUAACAUGUGACCGAUAGCGAACAAGUACCGUGAGGGAAAGGUGAAAAGAACCCCGAAAGGGGAGUGAAAUAGAACCUGAAACCUAGUGCCUACAAACAGAGAGAGCGCAACAGCGUGAUCUCGUACCUUUUGUAGAAUGGGCCAGCGAGUUAUUCUAAACUGCAAGAUUAAAUAUUUAAGAUAUGAAGUCGAAGCGAAAGCGAGUCUGAAUAGGGCUAAAAGUAGGUUAGAAUAGACCCGAAACCGGGUGAUCUAUCCAUGACCAGAGUGAAGGUGAAGUAAAAUUCACUGGAGGCUCGAACCGGGUACGGUUUAAAACGUAUCGGAUGAGUUGUGGUUAGGGGUGAAAAGCCAAACGAACUCGGAUAUAGCUGGUUCUCCUCGAAAUAGCUUUAGGGCUAGCCUUUGACCUAAGAUUUUAGGAGGUAGAGCACUGAAUGGUCUAGGGCGGUUAACCGUACCGAAACCUAUCAAACUCCGAAUGCCAAAAAAUCAAGUCAAGGAGUCAGACUUAGAGGGAUAAGCUUCUAAGUCGAAAGGGAAACAGCCCAGACCGACAGCUAAGGUCCCAAAAUCUGGAUUAAGUGGAAAAGGAUGUGAACCUACUAAGACAACCAGGACGUUGGCUUAGAAGCAGCCAUACAUUUAAAGAAUGCGUAAUAGCUCACUGGUCAAGUGGGUUUGCGCCGAAAAUGAACGGGGCUAAAAUCCAGUACCGAAGCUUCGGAUUGAUAGAGAAAUUAAAUCUAUCCCAUAAAGAAAGGUAAAUACAAACUUAACUAGGAAAUAUUGUACAAAACAAUAUCAAGAUAAAACGAGUUAUCAACUAAAAAUUACGCAAAAUCACAAGUAAAAGGUAAGUUGUAACUACGAUAUCACCGAAACAGACAUACGAAAGUAUGACCUGGUUAAAAAGUAUUCACCGCGAGCCGGCACUUUGACAAAUCAAUAGAUUUGAAACAGUGCGGCAUCUGACCUACUAACAAAUCAAAGAUUUGAGUUAGGUCAUGAUUUAUGACUAGAUUUAACUUCUCUAUCAGUGGUAGAGGAGCGUUGUAUUAGGGACGAAGCCAAAGCGAAAGCAACCGUGGACUUAAUACAAGUGAGAAUGCUGGCAUGAGUAGCGAGAAGGAGAGUGAGAAUCUCUCCCGUCGAAACCCUAAGGAUUCCUGAGCAAGGCUCGUCCACUCAGGGUAAGUCGGGACCUAAGCCAAGGCCGAAAGGCGUAGGCGAUGGACAACAGGUUUAGAUUCCUGUACCGCUUAAAGUCGAUAUUAGAGAAGUGAUGACGCAAGAGGAUAAGCUAAGCUGCCCGAUGGAUGGCAGUCUAAGAGUCAAGGCUAGUGUGUAGGCAAAUCCGUACACUAUUAAAGCUAAGGCUUGAUAGGUAUCGAAAACAUGAGUAGAGAAGUAGCUGAUUUCAAAUUGCCAAGAAAAGUCACUAUCGAGACCAAAGCGCCCGUACCCGAAACCGACACAGGUAGGGAGGUAGAGAAUACCAAGACGCGCGGAAGAACCUUUGUUAAGGAACUCGGCAAAAUGUCCCCGUAACUUCGGGAGAAGGGGAGCCAUAGCGAUAUGGCCACAGAAACCAGGCCCAAGCGACUGUUUACCAAAAACACAAGUUUCUGCAAAAUCGUAAGAUGAAGUAUAGGAGCUGACACCUGCCCGGUGCUGGAAGGUUAAGGAGAAGGCUUAGCGCAAGCGAAGGCUCGAACUUAAGCCCCAGUAAACGGCGGCCGUAACUAUAACGGUCCUAAGGUAGCGAAAUUCCUUGUCGGGUAAGUUCCGACCCGCACGAAAGGUGUAACGAUUUGGGCACUGUCUCAACAAAGGAUCCGGUGAAAUUGUAGUAGUCGUGAAGAUGCGACUUACCCACGCUAGGACGGAAAGACCCCGUGGAGCUUUACUGUAGGCUGAUAUUGGACUUUGAGAUUAGACAUACAGGAUAGUUGGGAGACUAUGAGCCAUGCACGCCAGUGUGUGAGGAGUCACCCUUGGGAUACCAACUUUCUAAUAUUAAAGUUCUAACGAUGACCCUUGAAUCAGGGCAUCGGACAUUGUCAGUUGGGCAGUUUGACUGGGGCGGUCGCCUCCUAAAAAGUAACGGAGGCGUUCAAAGGUUCGCUCAGAAUGGACGGAAACCAUUCGAAGAGUACAAAGGCAGAAGCGAGCUUAACUGCAAAACCUACAAGUUGCGCAGAGUAGAAAUACGGACUUAGUGAUCCGGUGGUACCGCAUGGAAGGGCCAUCGCUCAACGGAUAAAAGCUACCCCGGGGAUAACAGGCUUAUCUCCCCCAAGAGUCCACAUCGACGGGGAGGUUUGGCACCUCGAUGUCGGCUCGUCUCAUCCUGGGGCUGAAGUAGGUCCCAAGGGUUGGGCUGUUCGCCCAUUAAAGAGGCACGCGAGCUGGGUUCAGAACGUCGUGAGACAGUUCGGUCCCUAUCCAGCGUGGGCGUAAGAAAUUUGAGAGGACUUGUCCCUAGUACGAGAGGACCGGGAUGAACACACCACUGGUGUACCAGUUGUUCCGCCAGGAGCAUAGCUGGGUAGCUACGUGUGGAAAUGUUAAGUACUGAAAGCAUCUAAGUACGAAACACCCCUCAAGAUAAGAUUUCUAAGAGUACGUAAAGAAAAUACGUUUGAUAGGUCCAAGGUGUAAGUGCAGUAAUGUAUUAAGCUAAUGGAUACUAAACUUUAUAUCUUGACUGG